GUCAAAAAUGUUAUAAAUUGAUUUGCAUUUUAAUGAGGGAAAUAAGUAUUUGACCCCUCUGCAAAACAUGACUUAGUACUUGGUGGCAAAACCCUUGUUGGCAAUCACAGAGCUCCAUUUUGGUCUCAUCUGACCUCAACACUUUCACCCAGUUGUCCUCUGAAUCAUUCAGAUGUUCAUUGGCAAACUUCAGACGGGCAUGUAUAUGUGCUUUCUUGAGCAGGGGGACCUUGCGGGCGCUGCAGGAUUUAAGUCCUUCACGGCGUAGUGUGUUACCAAUUGUUUUCUUGGUGACUAUGGUCCCAGCUGCCUUGAGAUCAUUGACAAGAUCCUCCCGUGUAGUUCUGGGCUGAUUCCUCACCGUUCUCAUGAUCAUUGCAACUCCACGAGGUGAGAUCUUGCAUGGAGCCCCGGGCUGAGGGAGAUUGACAGUUCUUUUGUGUUUCUUCCACUUGCGAAUAAUCACACCAACUGUUGUCACCUUCUCACCAUGCUGCUUGGCGAUGGUCUUGUAGCCCAUUCCAACCUUGUGUAGGUCUACAAUCUUGUUCCUGACAUCCUUGGAGAGCUCUUUGGUCUUGGCCAUGGUGAAGAGUUUGGAAUAUGAUUGAUUGAUUGCUUCUGUGGACAGGUGUCUUUUUUACAGGUAACAAGCUGAGAUUAGGAGCACUCCCUUUAAGAGUGUGCUCCUAAUCUCAGCUCGUUACCUGUAUAAAAGACACCUGGGAGCCAGAAAUCUUUCUGAUUGAGAGGGGGUGAAAUACUUAUUUCCCUCAUUAAAAUGCAAAUCAAUGUAUAAAAUUUUUGACAUGCGUUUUUCUGGAUUUUUUUGUUGUUAUUUUAUCUCUCACUGUUCAAAUAAACCUACCAUUAAAAUUAUAGACUGAUCAUUUCUUUGUCAGUGGGAAAACAUACAAAAUCAGCAGGGGAUCAAAUACUUUUUUCCCUCACUGUAUAUGCCAAUCAUAGUAAGGUAUUAUUAUCAAAAUGGACCAAAUUAUGUGCUUGUAUUUUAAAACCUGUGUGUUUGAAUUAUUUUGUCUCUGUUAAAUGUGAAAUGCUUCUUCAAUUCAAAGUACUGAAUACUAUGAAAAGCCAUAACAAAACUAUGAUUUACUGAAAAAUGUUUUUUUUUUUUUUUUUACAAUAUGGUCAUGAUGUUGAUAUAUCAAAAUGUUUACUCGUUAUCACUGUGAGUGUUAGUUAUGCUUCUAAGAAUUCAAUCAUUUUACUUCUACUAGUGUUAACUUAUAGUGUACAUGGUAUAAUGCUGUAAACUUGUGAAUGCCACACCUCCAUAUUUGGAUGCCACACAUCCAUGGUGAUUUAUUUACUCAUUUGUUAAUUGACAAUUUCAGUAAGCAAAUAAUGUUAAUUAAGCACUGAAGAAAUUCAGAAUUGAGUGGUGAGGUCAUCUAGUAACUACCUCAAUUCCAGCAAGCUGUGAUGCUAGUAGUAGUUACCACUAAUACUCUGAAGUGGGUGAAAUUAAGACAAAAAAAGGGAAUGGCUUUCAUUUGACCUAAUCUGUAUGUCUGCAUGUAAUCCUACAAUUUUAAUCCUAACAUUCAUACAGUAAAUUUGAUGUACUGUGCUGUCUCUCAAGUAGUUAUUCUCUGUUAGUAAAAGGCAAUGCACCCAUAGAUGAGUCUGUUAUCUACAGUCAAUAACUAAAUGAAUAUGACAUGGUUUUCAUAUCAUGAUUUACAUUUACAUGUCAUUGCAAUGAAGAAUUAACGGCAAUAGCCCUUAAAAGAUGUGUGUUUAUUAAAGUGUGCCCGAUGCCAUUCAACAGAUGCUCAGAAGUCAUCUACACCAGCGUUGAAUAGUCGUCCUCCUCUCUUAUUUCCAAUCUAACAGAACUUGCUGUCACAUGUCCUUUUAUGAUGAGUAUCUGCUGGAAGGCAUUGUGUGCCCCCCUGUGUAUUAUUGAUAUAAGUGUGGCAUGAAAACUGACCCCUGGUGUGCCUCUGGUGUAACAAUGUCAUGUAAAUAAUUGCUAUUGUCUGGCUGCUUAUAAUGUAUGAAGUGUGUGAUGCAUAAUGUGCGUUCGUGUUAUUAAUGCAAGUCAUUUUAACAUUGUUUUGUUAUUUUGUUCAGUUUUUAUUAAAAGUGACAUAUUUUAUUACA
rnacentral:lncRNA from 1 species